rnacentral:ncRNA from 1 species
GAUAACUGGCUUAUGGCAGCCAAGCGUUCAUAGCGACUUUGAUCCUUCAAUGUCAGCUCUUCCUAUCAUUGUGAAGCAGAAUUCGCCAAGUGUUAGAUUGUUCACCCAUCUAUAGGGAACGUGAACUGGGUUUAGACCGUCGUGAGAUAGGUU